rnacentral:lncRNA from 1 species
AGAGAGAGGUGUGAGGCGUCACCCAGACGAGAGCGGAGAGACAAGAGCUAAAAAUGUCCGCCAACUUCGUUGGUCGUUAAAUUUGGUUCCACGAAUUACAAUGAAUACCUCUGUAAAACCACUGCGAAAAGGAAAUACUUUGCGGUGUGUAAGUUCUGCUGUCUGCAGCUGAGAGAAACGGCGGGGACGACGUCUAACUUCAUCCGACAUCGUGAAACGGAGCACGUGGUGUUGGGAUUGAGGUAGAAGGAGAUGUCAGUGACAUGGACGAUGGCGAUAACAAGAAGAAAAAAACGAAUGGCAGAGGAGCUCCAGGAAAAGGAGGAGGAAGGGCAAGAGGCCGAAGAACAUCACCAGUCAGUGAGGAUGAGGACGAUGAGGAAGAUACACCACCAAGACCUCGAAGGGCAGGAGAACGUAGGAGGGCAGCCAGGAAAGAGGGAGACGAAGAUGAAGACGACAACAAGGCUUCCAAGAAGAAGAGAGGAGGAGCGGCCAAUAGGAGGAG